GCCAAGUUCCGCCUCUGCAAGGACGCAGCCAGAGAGGUUUGCGACGCUGUCGCAGGGGAUCUGCAAAGACCACAGCAAUGGCGCAGCACCACUCUGCCAGUUGCACAAAGGGUGCUUAUGGCACUUCGAUUUUACGCAACUGGUGCGUUUCUUGGGAACAUCGCAGAGGAGGAAGACUUCCUCACGAGCAAGCGACCAGUGUCUGAGGCCAUUCAUGAUGUCAGCACUGCAAUUAUCCGUAACCUUGCCCCGCGAUACCUGAAGUUUCCCAUGUCACCCGAGGAGAAGUUGAGGGUCAAACGAGGCUUUUACGAGAUUGCAGGUCUGCCUGGCUGCCUUGGCGCAAUUGAUGGGACAGCGAUUUCAACAAUGGCUCCAAGCAGGACAGACCAACGUUUUGUGGAUGGUAACUAUUACUGUCACAAGGGA